rnacentral:misc_RNA from 1 species
AACUUUCUAUGGAGAAAUUAGAGAUACUUUUAGAACAACUGAUGGAGUGUAUCAUAUUCAGCCUGAAUUGUGGCGAAGGAGACAUCGUUUCCUUCCAAUACAGGUACAUACAUGUAAAUAUAAAAGUGUGUGCAUAAGUGAGAAAACAUGUCCUGUAAUUAAACUUCAAGCCCAAAUUCAUUGCUCAGCUCUUCAUGUUUUUAUGGAUGUCUCUUUUCUUGCUACACGCAUAUCUAAUAUCUGACUGUUCUGAUCACACGUUGUAUUGUAUGACGUUUAAAAUGAUCUCAAAGGAUAAUUUUGAUUUGCUAAAGAAUUACUAAACCUUUGUUCAGAAUAAUUUGCAUCGAAUUGUUUGUAGAAUUCUAAAUAUAUUAAUACGUUGUCUUUGGCUCAGUGUUUCAGAAUAAGUUGUAUUGAAGAUCUAGAAAUAAAUUCAUCCACACAGUUUGUUCAAUUGUGUGUGUCCAAUAUGUUCACUUGACUUACACAGUUUCAUUGCACCAGUAAUAAUUCUUACCUUUGAAUGCUUGUCUUUUUAAGUUUGAGCGAAUCACUUAUGGUCCAUUUGGAAAAUCCAGUAUACCGUGAGGUUGAUUUGAAAACGUUUGGACGAGAAGACGUCGAGAAAAUACCAGACAGCAUCUUGACACUUCACGCAGUGGAAGUUUGGAAAAAAAUCCACAGAACUGUCCGUAGUCGCAAAUAAACAAAUCACAGAUGUGAAGAUAGUUUAUGAAGUGUAAUUUUAUUCAUCAAUGUGGACUUUAUGAAAACAAAAUAACAAAAACAAAAUUAUAUAUUUUGUGUGUUAAACUAUGAUGACGUAUUUAACAUGUUAAGCUGUAAUCAGGGUGACACAAUAUACCUUUAUUUUAUGCUGCUGUUUGUCAUUUUGUUUGAUUUUCUUGGGCUUACAACUUGUCAGAUAAAUAUUUAAUUGUUUAACGAGAUGUUAUUUAGUUACUUUUAAAGGCCUCUGUUAAGUAUUGUUACCAGAUAAAAGUGUAAUAUUCAAAAGAAGAAAAAGUUUGAAAAUACUUACAAUAAACUAUUUAACU